rnacentral:tRNA from 1 species
GCCCGCCUAGCCCAACUGGCUAAGAGGCGCUGCCCUUAGACGGCAGAGGUUCCCGGUUCGAGUCCGGGGGCGGGCA